UCUCCUCCCCUUUAUGCCCGCGCCUCCGUGUACGGCCCGCCCAUAGCUCCUUCGACGGCGCCGCCUAGGAACGCGGAGAAAAUAUGACAAAGGAACGGCCAAAAAUAAAAAGAAAGACCUUUCUUUUGAAAAAACAAACAAAAAAAGGAAUGCAACACGAGGACUUCCCAGGAGGUCACCCAUCCUAGUACUACUCUCGCCCAAGCACGCUUAACUUCAAAGUUCUGAUGGGAUCCGGUGCUUUAGUGCUGGUAUGAUCGCAUCCGACAUACCGUGCGUUCUCCUCCCCUUUAUGCCCGCGCCUCCGUGUACGGCCCGCCCAUAGCUCCUUCGACGGCGCCGCCUAGGAACGCGGAGAAAAUAUGACAAAGGAACGGCCAAAAAUAAAAAGAAAGACCUUUCUUUUGAAAAAACAAACAAAAAAAGGAAUGCAACACGAGGACUUCCCAGGAGGUCACCCAUCCUAGUACUACUGUCGCCCAAGCACGCUUAAGUUCGGAGUUCUGAUGGGAUCCGGUGCUUUAGUGCUGGUAUGAUCGCAUCCGACAUGCCGUGCGUUCUCCUCCCCUUUAUGCCCGCGCCUCCGUGUACGGCCCGCCCAUAGCUCCUUCGUCGGCGCCGCCUAGGAACGCGGAGAAAAUAUGACAAAGGAACGGCCAAAAAUAAAAAGAAAGACCUUUCUUUUGAAAAAACAAACGCCUCCGUGUACGGCCCGCCCAUAGCUCCUUCGACGGCGCCGCCUAGGAACGCGGAGAAAAUAUGACAAAGGAACGGCCAAAAAUAAAAAGAAAGACCUUUCUUUUGAAAAAACAAACAAAAAAAAGGAAUGCAACACGAGGACUUCCCAGGAGGUCACCCAUCCUAGUACUACUCUCGCCCAAGCACGCUUAACUUCGGAGUUCUGAUGGGAUCCGGUGCUUUAGUGCUGGUAUGAUCGCAUCCGACAUACCGUGCGUUCUCCUCCCCUUUAUGCCCGCCCCUCCGUGUACGGCCCGCCCAUAGCUCUUUCGACGGCGCCGCCUAGGAACGCGGAGAAAAUAUGACAAAGGAACGGCCAAAAAUAAAAAGAAAGACCUUUCUUUUGAAAAAACAAACGCCUCCGUGUACGGCCCGCCCAUAGCUCCUUCGACGGCGCCGCCUAGGAACGCGGAGAAAAUAUGACAAAGGAACGGCCAAAAAUAAAAAGAAAGACCUUUCUUUUGAAAAAACAAACAAAAAAAAGGAAUGCAACACGAGGACUUCCCAGGAGGUCACCCAUCCUAGUACUACUCUCGCCCAAGCACGCUUAACUUCGGAGUUCUGAUGGGAUCCGGUGCUUUAGUGCUGGUAUGAUCGCAUCCGACAUACCGUGCGUUCUCCUCCCCUUUAUGCCCGCGCCUCCGUGUACGGCCCGCCCAUAGCUCCUUCGACGGCGCCGCCUAGGAACGCGGAGAAAAUAUGACAAAGGAACGGCCAAAAAUAAAAAGAAAGACCUUUCUUUUGAAAAAACAAACAAAAAAAAGGAAUGCAACACGAGGACUUCCCAGGAGGUCACCCAUCCUAGUACUACUCUCGCCCAAGCACGCUUAACUUCGGAGUUCUGAUGGGAUCCGGUGCUUUAGUGCUGGUAUGAUCGCAUCCGACAUACCGUGCGUUCUCCUCCCCUUUAUGCCCGCGCCUCCGUGUACGGCCCGCCCAUAGCUCCUUCGACGGCGCCGCCUAGGAACGCGGAGAAAAUAUGACAAAGGAACGGGCAAAAAUAAAAAGAAAGACCUUUCUUUUGAAAAAACAAACAAAAAAAAGGAAUGCAACACGAGGACUUCCCAGGAGGUCACCCAUCCUAGUACUACUCUCGCCCAAGCACGCUUAACUUCGGAGUUCUGAUGGGAUCCGGUGCUUUAGUGCUGGUAUGAUCGCAUCCGACAUACCGUGCGUUCUCCUCCCCUUUAUGCCCGCGCCUCCGUGUACGGGCCGUCCAUAGCUCCUUCGACGGCGCCGCCUAUGAACGCGGAGAAAAUAUGACAAAGGAACGGCCAACAAUCAUACGAAAGACCUUUCUUUUGAAAAAACAAACAAAAAAAAGGAAUGCGACACGAGGACUUCCCAGGAGGUCACCCAUCCUAGUACUACUCUCGCCCAAGCACGCUUAACUUCGGAGUUCUGAUGGGAUCCGGUGCUUUAGUGCUAGUAUGAUCGCAUUCGACAUACCGUGCGUUCUCCUCCCCUUUAUGCCCGCGCCUCCGUGUACGGCCCGCCCAUAGCUCCUUCGACGGCGCCGCCUAGGAACGCGGAGAAAAUAUGACAAAGGAACGGCCAAAAAUAAAAAGAAAGACCUUUCUUUUGAAAAAACAAACAAAUAAAAGGAAUGCAACACGAGGACUUCCCAGGAGGUCACCCAUCCUAGUACUACUCUCGCCCAAGCACGCUUAACUUCGGAGUUCUGAUGGGAUCCGGUGCUUUAGUGCUGGUAUGAUCGCAUCCGACAUACCGUGCGUUCUCCUCCCCUUUAUGCCCGCGCCUCCGUGUACGGCCCGCCCAUAGCUCCUUCGACGGCGCCGCCUAGGAACGCGGAGAAAAUAUGACAAAGGAACGGCCAAAAAUAAAAAGAAAGACCUUUCUUUUGAAAAAACAAACGCCUCCGUGUACGGCCCGCCCAUAGCUCCUUCGACGGCGCCGCCUAGGAACGCGGAGAAAAUAUGACAAAGGAACGGCCAAAAAUAAAAAGAAAGACCUUUCUUUUGAAAAAACAAACAAAAAAAAGGAAUGCAACACGAGGACUUCCCAGGAGGUCACCCAUCCUAGUACUACUCUCGCCCAAGCACGCUUAACUUCGGAGUUCUGAUGGGAUCCGGUGCUUUAGUGCUGGUAUGAUCGCAUCCGACAUACCGUGCGUUCUCCUCCCCUUUAUGCCCGCGCCUCCGUGUACGGCCCGCCCAUAGCUCCUUCGACGGCGCCGCCUAGGAACGCGGAGAAAAUAUGACAAAGGAACGGCCAAAAAUAAAAAGAAAGACCUUUCUUUUGAAAAAACAAACAAAUAAAAGGAAUGCAACACGAGGACUUCCCAGGAGGUCACCCAUCCUAGUACUACUCUCGCCCAAGCACGCUUAACUUCGGAGUUCUGAUGGGAUCCGGUGCUUUAGUGCUGGUAUGAUCGCAUCCGACAUACCGUGCGUUCUCCUCCCCUUUAUGCCCGCGCCUCCGUGUACGGCCCGCCCAUAGCUCCUUCGACGGCGCCGCCUAGGAACGCGGAGAAAAUAUGACAAAGGAACGGCCAAAAAUAAAAAGAAAGACCUUUCUUUUGAAAAAACAAACAAAUAAAAGGAAUGCAACACGAGGACUUCCCAGGAGGUCACCCAUCCUAGUACUACUCUCGCCCAAGCACGCUUAACUUCGGAGUUCUGAUGGGAUCCGGUGCUUUAGUGCUGGUAUGAUCGCAUCCGACAUACCGUGCGUUCUCCUCCCCUUUAUGCCCGCGCCUCCGUGUACGGCCCGCCCAUAGCUCCUUCGACGGCGCCGCCUUGGAACGCGGAGAAAAUAUGACAAAGGAACGGCCAAAAAUAAAAAGAAAGACCUUUCUUUUGAAAAAACAAACAAAUAAAAGGAAUGCAACACGAGGACUUCCCAGGAGGUCACCCAUCCUAGUACUACUCUCGCCCAAGCACGCUUAACUUCGGAGUUCUGAUGGGAUCCGGUGCUUUAGUGCUGGUAUGAUCGCAUCCGACAUACCGUGCGUUCUCCUCCCCUUUAUGCCCGCGCCUCCGUGUACGGCCCGCCCAUAGCUCCUUCGACGGCGCCGCCUAGGAACGCGGAGAAAAUAUGACAAAGGAACGGCCAAAAAUAAAAAGAAAGACCUUUCUUUUGAAAAAACAAACAAAUAAAAGGAAUGCAACACGAGGACUUCCCAGGAGGUCACCCAUCCUAGUACUACUCUCGCCCAAGCACGCUUAACUUCGGAGUUCUGAUGGGAUCCGGUGCUUUAGUGCUGGUAUGAUCGCAUUCGACAUACCGUGCGUUCUCCUCCCCUUUAUGCCCGCGCCUCCGUGUACGGGCCGCCCAUAGCUCCUUCGACGGCGCCGCCUAGGAACGCGGAGAAAAUAUGACAAAGGAACGGCCAAAAAUAAAAAGAAAGACCUGUUCUUUUGAAAAAACAAACUAAAAAAAGGAAUGCAGCACGAGGACUUCCCAGGAGGUCACCCAUCCUAAUACUACUCUCGCCCAAGCACGCUUAACUUCGGAGUUCUGAUGGGAUCCGGAGCUUUAGUGUUGGUAUGAUCGCAUCCGACAUACCGUGCGUUCUCCUCCCCUUUAUGCACCCGCCUCCGUGUACGGCCCGCCCAUAGCUCCUUCGACGGCGCCGCCUAGGAACGCGGAGAAAAUAUGACAAAGGAACGGCCAAAAAUAAAAAGAAAGACCUUUCUUUUGAAAAAACAAACAAAAAAAAGGAAUGCAACACGAGGACUUCCCAGGAGGUCACCCAUCCUAGUACUACUCUCGCCCAAGCACGCUUAACUUCGGAGUUCUGAUGGGAUCCGGUGCUUUAGUGCUGGUAUGAUCGCAUCCGACAUACCGUGCGUUCUCCUCCCCUUUAUGCCCGCGCCUCCGUGUACGGCCCGCCCAUAGCUCCUUCGACGGCGCCGCCUAGGAACGCGGAGAAAAUAUGACAAAGGAACGGCCAAAAAUAAAAAGAAAGACCUUUCUUUUGAAAAAACAAACAAAAAAAAGGAAUGCAACACGAGGACUUCCCAGGAGGUCACCCAUCCUAGUACUACUCUCGCCCAAGCACGCUUAACUUCGGAGUUCUGAUGGGAUCCGGUGCUUUAGUGCUGGUAUGAUCGCAUCCGACAUACCGUGCGUUCUCCUCCCCUUUAUGCCCGCGCCUCCGUGUACGGCCCGCCCAUAGCUCCUUCGACGGCGCCGCCUAGGAACGCGGAGAAAAUAUGACAAAGGAACGGCCAAAAAUAAAAAGAAAGACCUUUCUUUUGAAAAAACAAACAAAUAAAAGGAAUGCAACACGAGGACUUCCCAGGAGGUCACCCAUCCUAGUACUACUCUCGCCCAAGCACGCUUAACUUCGGAGUUCUGAUGGGAUCCGGUGCUUUAGUGCUGGUAUGAUCGCAUCCGACAUACCGUGCGUUCUCCUCCCCUUUAUGCCCGCGCCUCCGUGUACGGCCCGCCCAUAGCUCCUUCGACGGCGCCGCCUAGGAACGCGGAGAAAAUAUGACAAAGGAACGGCCAAAAAUAAAAAGAAAGACCUUUCUUUUGAAAAAACAAACGCCUCCGUGUACGGCCCGCCCAUAGCUCCUUCGACGGCGCCGCCUAGGAACGCGGAGAAAAUAUGACAAAGGAACGGCCAAAAAUAAAAAGAAAGACCUUUCUUUUGAAAAAACAAACAAAAAAAAGGAAUGCAACACGAGGACUUCCCAGGAGGUCACCCAUCCUAGUACUACUCUCGCCCAAGCACGCUUAACUUCGGAGUUCUGAUGGGAUCCGGUGCUUUAGUGCUGGUAUGAUCGCAUCCGACAUACCGAGCGUUCUCCUCCCCUUUAUGCCCGCGCCUCCGUGUACGGCCCGCCCAUAGCUCCUUCGACGGCGCCGCCUAGGAACGCGGAGAAAAUAUGACAAAGGAACGGCCAAAAAUAAAAAGAAAGACCUUUCUUUUGAAAAAACAAACGCCUCCGUGUACGGCCCGCCCAUAGCUCCUUCGACGGCGCCGCCUAGGAACGCGGAGAAAAUAUGACAAAGGAACGGCCAAAAAUAAAAAGAAAGACCUUUCUUUUGAAAAAACAAACAAAAAAAAGGAAUGCAACACGAGGACUUCCCAGGAGGUCACCCAUCCUAGUACUACUCUCGCCCAAGCACGCUUAACUUCGGAGUUCUGAUGGGAUCCGGUGCUUUAGUGCUGGUAUGAUCGCAUCCGACAUACCGUGCGUUCUCCUCCCCUUUAUGCCCGCGCCUCCGUGUACGGCCCGCCCAUAGCUCCUUCGACGGCGCCGCCUAGGAACGCGGAGAAAAUAUGACAAAGGAACGGCCAAAAAUAAAAAGAAAGACCUUUCUUUUGAAAAAACAAACACCUAAAAGGAAUGCAACACGAGGACUUCCCAGGAGGUCACCCGUCAUCGUAGUACUCUCGCCCAAGCACGCUUAGCUUCGGAGUUCUGAUGAGAUCCGGUGCUUUAGUGCUGGUAUGAUCGCAUCCGACAUACCGUGAGUUCUCCUCCCCUUUAUGCCCGUGCCUCCAUGUACCGCCCGCCCAUAGCUCCUUCGACGGGACGCUCCUAGGAACGCGGAGAAAAUAUUACAAAGGAGCGCCCAAAAAUAAAAAGAAAGACCUUUCUUUUGAAAAAACAAACGCCUCCGUGUACGGCCCGCCCAUAGCUCCUUCGACGGCGCCGCCUAGGAACGCGGAGAAAAUAUGACAAAGGAACGGCCAAAAAUAAAAAGAAAGACCUUUCUUUUGAAAAAACAAACAAAAAAAAGGAAUGCAACACGCGGACUUCCCAGGAGGUCACCCAUCCUAGUACUACUCUCGCCCAAGCACGCUUAAGUUCGGAGUUCUGAUGGGAUCCGGUUCUUUAGUGCUGGC
rnacentral:lncRNA from 1 species